GCACAGAUUCUCUCUCUGUACCCUGCACAGAUGCUGUUGGGGGAUGGGGAAGGGAUGACUUCUGCAAUUCAAGAUUCUCUCUUGCCAUCCCCAAUGCCUCUUUCCAUCAUAUGAUGUUAAAACCAGGAAAGGAGCCCCAGGCCUCUCAAAAAGUAUGAAAGAACUGGAAUUCACCAGAUCAUCACAUCCAGACAAUGAGACACCAGGCCCCUCAUUCAUCAUGAUGGCUUCUUUACCCCUAUGGAGUUCCUGUUUUCCCUUAGAUAGUUACAUUUCUUCCCUGCUAUAUAAACCCCUAAUUUUAGUCAAUCCCGAAGACGGAUUUGAGCUUCAGCUCCCAUCUCCUUGGCUGCAGACCUGAUUAAAGCCUUCUUCCGUGGCAGUACUUGUCAUCUCAGUCAUUGACUUUCUGUGCAGCAAGCAGCAGGACCUAGAUGCAACCUGUGGUGUUUCAGUAACACGUGUAGUAACUAACAUUGUCUGACAUGCUCAUUACAUGUCUUUUUCUAAUCCCAGUUUUGCUAUCUCCUCAAUUUUCAAUUGGAGAUUAUACCGCAUGAGGUAAUCUGUUUUGUAAAAAACAAAAAGCUAUUGGACUCUAUCCACAUGUGCAUAAUUUUUCACCCUAGAAUUAGAUCUUCCAUACUUACUUGAAAUAAUCAUAUAUAUUAGUGUAAACAGCAGAUUUAAAAAGAGAUUAGGCUUAGGUUCCGUAAACAGUAAAUGGUUAAUACGAUUUUUCAAAAUUGCUUUUUACAAGUGAAUCACUGGUUCAAACAUAGGAUAAGUUAGAAAUAAACAAAAUUAUUACCCUCUGAAAGUUAACUGGUGAUUUGGGUUCAGUUCCUAGUUUCCCCUGUACUAGUGUCCAGCCUCAACAAUUAGAUUUAAUUUAGCACGGCUGAUGGGAGCCUUCUCUGAAAGGGUUGCAUAAAUGGUUUCUGGGGUCAAGUAAUAAAAAUUCCUCCUAACUCAGGGGUGAAGUGCUGCUGAAAACUGGAACUCUUGAUAAUUUUAUGACCUCAGUUCAAUUCAGUUAGAUAAAGUAAAUACUUCUGUAGCAAUCACACACAAAGUACACAGAAAUUAAUAACUGAAGAAAUACUAUUCUGAGAACAUUGACACAUAGGCACACCUCAGCUUUUUUUUUGUUUUUAGGAUGCUAUUGCCUUCAAUUUACAGUGGUAAAACUAUAACCAUGCUUACCCAAAUUUCCCUCCCCACAGGGUAGGUGCUGCAGUUUAAUUUAAUUAGGGAGAAGUGAUUCUUACUUGGGUAUUGGUAUAUUAAUGACCAUUCUUAAAAGCUACCAGGGUCAAGUAAUUCUUUGACAAAACAUACCUAUUUGUAUUUAUCAUAUUUGAACAGAGAUAACUUGGAAACACUCAAUAAGCAGAAUGGUAAAGAAAUUUCAAAUUUUUAAUAUGAAAUCAAACAUUUUUCAUUUAAGCGUGAACACCACUGUUGCUAAACAUACUCUAUGGGUUGAAUUUUCCCAGAAACACCUGGUAACUCUCUUUCCUUUCCCUUUUGCCUCUUUAAGUAGGUGUUAAUCAUUUGCCAGAUCUGUGUUCCAGCCUAUCUAUGGUUCAGAGUCAAUAUUCAUAAUACAUGGCGGUGGUGGUGGUGUGUGUGUGUAUGUGCGCACGUGCAUGUGUUUGUGAGUCUUUGUUGAUUCUACUGAGUUGAUGUUUUUUUAACAAUGUCUUUGUCCAGAAUAUGUACGUAUUAGAGUUCCUCAGAUAACCUUCUACAACUUAAAUUCAAACUGCAAUCACUCCAAACUUGCUGACCUAUUUGCAAAUCUUUACACAUAUCUUUGCAUAUCUAUUUUCUCAUUUUCUUUCUUCUCUUCUCAUACUACUAUUUUUCACUUCUCCAUAUCUAAUUUUUCUUCAGUUGUUUAUAUCUGUAUUAGGGUUUAAACCCUGAGGUUUGUUCUUUCCCAUUCUCUGAACAAAGAGAGAGAUUCAUUCAAAAUUUGGAGAAAACCCAUCACUGAAGCAGUAAACAUCUGGCUUUGGGCAGUAUUGCUACAGAGCACGAUUGUAAAACACAUACUGUUUUCUGACACUUUUUCUUUUAUUUGCUUCUUUCUUUUGUUUGUUUUUUUAGUUCCUUAAUUUAAAAAUAAAUAUGUUAAUUAUAGAAGAAAUUAAAUAUAAAAAGUAUAAGUGAGAAAAAUCAAAGUCAUCCAUAUGCUUAACUCCUAGAAAGAGCCUGUUAACUUUCUGCUAAAUUGCCUUCUGAUCUUUUUCUAGUGUACGUGAAGGCUAGUUUGUAUAUAUAUGAAUAUAUUUAAAUAAAAUGCAUUUGCAUAUACAUGUACUUAUACAUACAUUCACGUAUAUUUGCAUACUUGGGAUCAUAGUGUAUAUAUUUCUUUAUCCAAUUUCUUACUUAUUAUAUUGUGAAUAAUUCCCAUGCCAUUUAACCUUCUUUUUC
rnacentral:lncRNA from 10 species